rnacentral:ncRNA from 2 species
GAUAUAUCAAGAGUGGGCGAGAGAUCUGGCUCUACGAACCCACGGCAACCUGCAACAUGCAAGGUGCUCCGACCAGCAAAGCCGAUGCUUUGGAUGAUACUUA